UCGCGUAGGGAUGUAUCGUUGGGUGGGGGAGUAGCCUUGGGAAACUGGGGGUAAGUACCGCAUGACGCCUGUGGGCCAAAGGCAGUGAUGCCGCCUGACGAGCAGCCUGCGUCCGAUUAGCUAGUUGGUUGGGUAAUGGCUGACCAAGGCUGUGAUCGGUAGCUGGUCUGAGAGGAUGAUCAGCCACACUGGGACUGAGACACGGCCCAG
rnacentral:rRNA from 1 species